GUCAGAGCCCUCGCGCCUGCGCUCGAGGCGAGGGCCAAUAAGGAGACGCUGGUAACUUCGAUUUGGGGCUUCACGUACUUCCCACCUGCCCUCGAGGGCUGCAACCAGUGGGGCUUGGCAUUGCCUUUGAGGAACAAUAAAUUAUGGAAGGGGUCCAUAACUCCUCGCCACCCUGCGCGGGAACUACUUUGAGUUACAGUGAAACAGCCUUCCUCCACUUUCCUUCCUCUUUCGAAAUGUCACGAUCCAGCAGACUUCGGGGAUUCCCAACCGAAACAUUCCCCUCCCCUAGUGUCCCUUUGGCGGGGAACGCCAGCCAGAAAGCAAGCCAGGUUGCGACUAGAGUUGGGGCGCUUUGCAUCCUGGGAUGUGUAGUCGCGCUCCCCUACCCCGUUCCCAUCUCAGAAGUAAUGCGACUUCUUCCGUCACUGGCUGCGACCUAGAAGGAGCAGUGCAUGCUGGGGGAUGUAGUCACCCAGGUGGCCACCUUGUCCUCGCUUGCUUCGCGUUGGUCAAGGGAACUUUGUUUUAGUUCUGCCUAUUGAAGAAAGGACACCUUCCAGAGACGCCUUCCAGAGACGUAGGAGACGCAAGUUCUCUUACUGGCUUAAGUCCUAGAAGCCUUCUAAGAAAGGAUACCCAUGUCCUUCGCUCUCAAGAGAAAAAGCAUAGAGACAUAUUUUGCUUUGGUUUGUUUCUUAUCUAUGAUAGUUGGUAAGAUUUUAUACUCACCUGUACCCCAAAGAGAAAGGAUUGGGAAGGAAGUGUUGACUGGUUAGCUGUAUUACCUUUAGAAAUUAAGUCCGGGCACGGUGGCUCACGCUUGUAAUCCCAGCACUUUGGGAGGCUGAGGCGGGUGGAUCACGAGGUCAGGAGAUCGAGACCAUCUUGGCUAACGGUGAAACCCCAUCUCUACUAAAAUGCAAAAAAAAAAAAUAGCCGGGCGUGGUGGCUCAGGCCUGUAAUCCCAGCUACUUAGGAGGCGACGCAGGAGAAUCGCUUGAACCCGGGAGGCGUGGCUUGCAAUGAGCAGAGAUCGCGCCACUGCACUCCAGCCUGAGCAACAGAACGAGACUCUAUCUCAAAAAAAAAAAAAAAAAAAAAAA
rnacentral:lncRNA from 1 species